UACGUAGGUGGCAAGCGUUGUCCGGAUUUACUGGGCGUAAAGGGCGUGCAGGCGGUCUGUUAAGUUCAGGGUGAAAGCUCCCGGCUCAACUGGGAGAGGUCCUUGGAUACUGGCAGACUUGAGGAGGGUAGAGGAGAGGUGGAAUUCCCGGUGUAGUGGUGAUAUGCGUAGAUAUCGGGAGGAACACCAGUGGCGAAGGCGGCUCUCUGGGCCCUACCUGACGCUGAGACGCGAAAGCGUGGGGAGCAAACAGG
rnacentral:rRNA from 1 species